UCUGCCUACGGGGCGCAGCAGUAGGGAAUUUUCGUCAAUGGGCGCAAGCCUGAACGAGCAAUGCCGCGUGAACGAGGAAGGUCUUCGGAUCGUAAAGUUCUGUUGAAGGGGAAAAAGAGCGGAGAGAGGAAAUGAACUCCGAUUGAUAUUACCCUUCGAGGAAGUCACGGCUAACUACGUGCCAGCAGCCGCGGUAAUACGUAGGUGGCGAGCGGUAUCCGGAAUGAUUGGGCGUAAAGGGAGCGUAGGCGGCCUGCUAAGUCUGGAGUGAAAGGUACCGGCUCAACCGGGACAGGGUCUG
rnacentral:rRNA from 1 species